UACGUAGGGGGCAAGCGUUGUUCGGAAUUACUGGGCGUAAAGGGCUCGUAGGCGGCCAACUAAGUCAUACGUGAAAUCCCUCAGCUUAACUGGGGAACUGCGUGUGAUACUGGAUGGCUUGGAUUUGGGAGAGGGAUGCGGAAUUCCAGGUGUAGCGGUGAAAUGCGUAGAUAUCUGGAGGAACACCGGUGGCGAAGGCGGCAUCCUGGACCAAUUAUGACGCGAGGAGCGAAAGCCAGGGGA
rnacentral:rRNA from 1 species